rnacentral:misc_RNA from 1 species
GAGUUCUACUGUAUUCACGAUGUUUCGAGCAAUUUCGAGAAUCUACCAGUUGCAUAUUCUACAAUAUUCUAUUCAAAUAAAAAUCAUUAAAUAUUAAUUUUAUUUCAUCAUUUAACUAAUAAACAAUUUAAUAAUAUUUUAUUAAUUAAUUUUUAAUUAUUUUUAAUAUAUAUUUUUAUAUUGAUGAAAUUUUCUCGACUAGUGUUUCGAAUUUUCUCGAGUUUUUUAUUUAUUUUUAUGUGAUGUCAAAGUAGUGUGUGUGUGUGUGUUUUAUUUUGAUGAUGAUGUCAGUUUGUGAUAUCAUCAUGGAAAUGUUUAUAUUUUUUUUCAAAAUAUGAAUAUAAUUAUUUUAAAUUUAAUUUAUAAUUUUUUUGGAUAGCUGACAGAUUGAUACAAGUGGGAGAUGGAUAGCAUCAUCAUUCAGUUCAUUCUGAGUGUUCUCGAUCAGCUGUGCUUGUAGAUAAAAAAAAAAAAAAAACAACAACAACAACAAUGUGUCAUUGUGUCUUGCAGUCUAAUAUAAAUUGAUAAUAAAUAUGUCAAAUUUUAUUUUAUUGAUGAUUAAUUGGAGCUUGUUAAAUAUCACUGUAAAUAUUUUUAACAAUAAUGGUUCUAUUGAUAAUGGCUAAACUGUAAAUAUUGAUAUAAUAACAAUAAUUUUUCUUUAUCUUGAUAUAUAAUUUUGAGGACAUCUUGACGUUAAAAUUAUUAUCAUAUGACAAUUUACAUGACCAUGAAUGAGAGACAACAAUACUAGUUGUCAAGAAGCAUUUGUUAUAUUUUUAAAUACACAAAAGAGUCUUUAAAAAUUUACACAAAGAAGAAGAGACGUUAAAUGAAGUUGAUGAAAACUGUAAAUCACAAAUGAAUAAACAACAUUAACAACAAGAGACAAUUUAAAUUUCAUCAGUUUGAACAACUAGUCAACAAAUUAAUCCAAAUGACUUGAAAGAGAUAGCAUUGUUGACGACAAACAGUGUUGAUGGUGUUGAUGAUUAUCCUGUUUGUAUUAAAGCAAUGAGACAAGCAAAAAGAAGAAAAAGAAAAUUUAACCAUUUUUCAUUUUAAAAACAAUUAUCAUGUUUACCUGGAUCAGAUAUAAAACAUCAUGAUUUAAUUUUAAAUGAAUGGUUGAAUUAUUGUUUAUUUGAAAAUUAAUAUCCAACUAUGAUUUAAUCAAUUAGUUGGAUCUUGGGAAAAAAUUAGAUGCUGAUGUAUAAUUAAUGUCAUCGAAAAAAUAUUGAAAAGCAAGUGCUGAUAUUUUUGGAAGUUCAUUUGAUGAUGAUGAUGAUGAUCGACGACGUAGAUCAUCAACUGGCGUGUGACAUAUUGUACCAUAAUCAAUAAAGAAAAAUAUUGUUGCUAUUUUUUAAUAAACCUCGUUGAUAAAUUUUUUUAUCUUUAUUAAUUUACAUAAUAUUAAUAUAUAUUAAUUGAUCUUUAUUGAAUUUAUUUCUUUUGUUUUCUUCAAUGAUAAUAUGUGCUGCCAAUCGGUAACAUCGGAAAAUUGCUGGUUGUUUCUGGACCUUGUCAGCUGUUAAUUCAACAAAAAUAAACAUAAUAUAAAAACACACACACACUGAUACACAAAAUUAAUAAAAAUAAAUAAAUAAAAAAUUCGCAAAUACGUCAAACGAUUUAUAACAGAUAUAAAAACGUAAAUAACCACAAAAUAAAAAUAACGAAAUUUGAUAUCAUAUUAUAAAAAAAAAUAUACUGAAAUAUUAUUUAUAAAAAAAAAAAAAAAAGAAAAAAAACUGUUAAAUUAUUUAAACUACAAUGCAAAAUAACAACUGGAGAAAUUCACAUGAUAAUUUUUCAAUUAGUGACUUUCAAAAUUUGCCAAAGAUUGAAUAUGUCAAUCAAGAAAAUCAUCAUCAUCUUCCAGCUAAUAAAAAAAAAACAUUGGACAUAACAUUGACAAGUCAAUUAAAUUUUUUUGAUUAUCAAAAAAUUAAUGAUAAUAUACAAAGAAUAAUUUCAUCUGAUGAAAAAACAAUUGUACCAUCUUCUUCAUCAUCAACAUCAUCAAGCCUUGAAAUUGUCAAUAAUUAUGAUAUAAAAAAAAUAAACAAAAAAAGAAAAAACUCAAAUAUUAUCAAUAUUAAUUUACAACAAGCAUUAGAGAAACAUGGAUAUUAUAAUUUACUUGAAUCAUCAACAAAGCCAACAAAAAUAACAAUGGAUAUUUGUAAAUUAAGUGUCAAUAUGUCAAUAGUCAACACACUAUGGCUUAAAAAAAUAAGCCAAAAAAAUAAAAAGAAAAAAUUAACAAAAUUGAAAAGUUUAAUAAUACAAAAACAUAAAUUUAAAAAACAAUCAUCAUCAUCAUCGUCAUCAUCAUCUGAAUUAAUUCCCAUGAAUUUUAAUAAUAGAAAUUUGACAGACACAUGUAGUAUUAAUUUAAAUCAAUUAAAAAUAUCACCAUCAUCAAAUAAUGAUUUAAUUAAUCAAGAAUUGAUUAUAAAAAUGUCAUCAUUAUCAUGUAAUCAUGAUAUUCUUAAUCAUCGUGAUAGCUCAAAGGACAUAAUCAUUGAUGAUGUCAUAACAUUUCAUCCAAAUUUAGAAGAGACAUUGAAUAACAUUAGUUUGCAAACAAAAAUUAAUGAUUAUGAUGGUGAUGAUGAUGAUGAUCAAUACAGUACAUAUUCAAGUCUUGUUAUUGAUGAAAUUCAUGAUAUUGAUAAAAUAAGUAAUUUAAGUAUUCAAGAUGAUAAUAAAAUUGAUCAUCAAAAUAAUGAUUUAAAUAAAAAAAUAUUCUAACAAAUUUAAAGAAUAUUAUUAACAUGUAGAAAAUAUAUUUAUAUAUUUUGUAAGAGUUUUAUUAAGUGGUGUUAAUAUUAUUGUCAAUAUGGUUGACAAACUAAUUGACAUUAAAAUGGAUUUAUCAGUUGUGUUGGAAUAAUUAUCUAUUAUUGGACAAA